UAGAAGUCAGGUCGGAUUAAGCCAUAGUACGGAAAAAACUAUGCUACCUGUGAGCCCCGUCCAAGGACGUUAAAAGAAGUCAGGCCAUCACAAAUGCCAUAGCUUGAGCAAACUAUGCAGCCUGUAGCUCCACCUGGGAAGGUGUAAAAAAUCCGGGAGGCCACAAACCAUGGAAGCUGUACGCAUGGCAUAGUGGACUAGCGGUUAGAGGAGACCCCUCCCUUACAAAUCGCAGCAACAAUGGGGGCCCAAGGCGAGAUGAAGCUGUAGUCUCGCUGGAAGGACUAGAGGUUAGAGGAG
rnacentral:lncRNA from 1 species